rnacentral:rRNA from 1 species
AACGCGAAGAACCUUACCAGGCCUUGACAUGCAUCUCUAAACCGGUGAAAGCCGGCGAGUGUCGAAAGACACAAUUUGCACAGGUGCUGCAUGGCUGUCGUCAGCUCGUGUCGUGAGAUGUUGGGUUAAGUCCCGCAACGAGCGCAACCCUUGUGAACUGUUGCCACCGGAGCGAGAGCUCCGAGCACUCUGUUCAGACUGCCUCGCUUAAACGAGGAGGAAGGUGAGGAUGACGUCAAGUCAGUAUGGCCCUUACGGCCUGGGCUGCACACGUACUACAAUGCCCAGCACAGAAUGAUCCGAGACCGCGAGGUGGAGGAAAUCUCUAAAACUGGGCCCAGUUCGGAUUGGAGGCUGCAAUUCGCCUCCAUGAAGCCGGAAUCGCUAGUAAUGGCGCAUCAGCUACGGCGCCGUGAAUACGUUCCCGGGCCUUGUA